rnacentral:tRNA from 1 species
GCGGGAAUAGCUCAGUGGUAGAGCACAACCUUACCAAGGUUGGGGUCGCGAGUUCGAGCCUCGUUUCCCGCU